AAGUCGUAACAAGGUUUCCGUAGGUGAACCUGCGGAAGGAUCAUUAAAGAUUCGGCUCCCGAGCCAAGCCUCUUCAGCUGUGCGCUUCGGCUGCACGCUGUUGGACCUCACACACCUGUGAACAUUCCAGUUGUGGGUCACCUCUGGGUGUCUCACUUCCGCCUUUACAUCAAACUACCAAGUCUAGAAUGUAAAAACUAUAAAUGAACAA
rnacentral:misc_RNA from 1 species